rnacentral:misc_RNA from 1 species
GAUGAAGAACGCAGCGAAAUGCGAUAAGUAGUGUGAAUUGCAGAAUUCAGUGAAUCAUCGAAUCUUUGAACGCACAUUGCGCCCCCUGGUAUUCCGGGGGGCAUGCCUGUUCGAGCGUCAUUACAACCCUCAAGCUCUGCUUGGUGUUGGGCCCCGCCGCCCCGGCGGGCCCUAAAAUCAGUGGCGGUGCCGUCCGGCUCCGAGCGUAGUAAUUCUUCUCGCUCUGGAGGUCCGGGUGUGUGCUCGCCAGCAACCCCCAAUUUUUUUCAGGUUGACCUCGGAUCAGGUAGGGAUACCCGCUGAACUUAAGCAUAUCAAUAAGCGGAGGA